CGCAAGGCUCGUCCACGCGCAGCGAUCCGUCUGCCCACAUUACAUCGUACCGAGCGGGCCACGAAUUUGCGCAGGGGUUGGGAGAAGUGGCCCCCGCCAGGGGCAUAAGAGCAAGGGGGGCGCAAAUUCCAAAGGCUGCCGACGAUGACGUGACGGGGCGCCAGGCCGCCCUCUGAAAAAAUAACACCGCGCCGCGCCCAGUCUGGUACGAGAAAUUGUGGAAAAAUUUGCUACAGAACGGAGAAGAGACAGUAAAGGAAGACGCUCUGAUGACGAGAAUCCUCUUCACUUUACUGGGAGGCACUUUUCUCAUGUCACUCCAAGUGACCAGUCCAAGAAAUGCAAACUAUGGAGUAGAUGUGCAGUCUGCUCGAAAUAGAAUGUGCGCCAUGACCGUGCUCAGCUAAUAUACAUUACCCAAGCUGAACCUCCUUACCCCAUGAACUUUUUUAUCAGAGCACGAGACCACAUAACCUUGCAAACCAGUUUUGACAUCUUCAUCUUCCUGCAAAUGCAUAAAGUGCGAUUGUGGUCAGAUCCAGUUGACAUAUUUCUUGUUUAAUUGGGCAAGUAAAUGUAUACUCUAUAUUCACAGUUGAAACAUUUCCUUUCAUACAACAAAGAGAUGGGACCCAAAAAACUAUCUGGAAAAGCAUUUAAAAAGCUAAGAAAAGGAAUAAACUGCAGUUCUCCUUUCAGGAUACUUGAAAAAUUGGCUAAAACCCCAUAAGGAGAUGGACACACGUAACACUGCAACAGAUCAAGAUGAGAUUAAUGCCGAUUUUGAAUCUGAUGAUACGAAAACACAUCCACUUACAAAUGAUGACAACCAACCACAACCAUCAACUUCCCAUCAUAUAGCCUCACCAGUUUCAGAAAACAACUGUGAAGAGUACGAAUCGUCCACACAUAGUUCUUUAGAUGAGGAAGAAUUAGCAGUUGGUUGUCAUGAUUUACCUCCACUAGAAGAAGGCUGAUCACAAGAAAUAGGUGAAAUAGUUUUUAAUGAUCCAAAAAAUGGCCUAGCUAUCCAUUGAUUACUGAUAGUAUUCGAAUUGUGCUGGUUGAACGUGGCCCUCAAAUAGUUGACGUAUCAACCUUCAAGUUUCCCAUGUCAGAUGGAGACAGAUGUUUCGAUAGCAAGUGCUUUUACAAAAAUCUCACAAAUGGCAAAUGUGUGCGAAGACAAUGGUUACUUUAUAGCCAGUCAGAAGAUUCUCUAUUUUGUUUUCCCUGCCUCCUCUUUGGGAAGGAUCAUCGUGGAAAGUCAUCUUAAUUUUCAGAUUUUAAUAAAGGCUUCAAGGACUGGAAACACUUAAACCCUCUCAUUUACAAUCACGAAAACUCGUCCAGCCACAGGUUGUGUUACAUGCAGUGGAAAGAUUUGCAAAACCGACUAAAACAAAAGAAGACUGUGGAUGAUGAAAUUCAAGAAAGUAUUCAGAAGGAGGUAGAGAAGUGGAGAAACAUACUGAAAGUAGUCAUAGAUGUAAUAGUUUAAACCUUAUCGGAUCGUAUGCUGCCGCUGUUUCGCCUCUAAUGAUUACUUUUUUUGGAACAGUUAGAAAGAUAUUUACUUUCUUCAGUGGCUCUACAGGAAGGUGGCAAGCUGUGUUAAGUAACUUCGACAUUACGUUGAAGGGUCUGGAGGAAAUGGCUGAUAAUAACCAAGACAAAUGGAACCUGGAAACGUCAGUGGGGGCUCAAGGACUCAUCAAGCAAAUCUACUUCAAAUUCCAAUGACUUUUGCAUCUGUGGGAAAGGUUUCUAGUCUCGAUUGAUAAAAUCAGCAAGUCACUUCAGAAAGAGACUGUUGCAGUCGACAAGGCUAGCAAAAUGAUAAAGGGAUGGUCAAAUACGAUUCAGAAAAUCGGAGAUGAAGGUAUUGGUCCAGCAAUCGACUAUGCAACAAAGCAAGUGCAAGAAAUCGGUAUCGAUGAUAAUUUUGCUGAAAAAAUAUGGAAGAUCAUAAGACAACGUCUUUCAGAUUCAAAUAAACAAAUGCAUGAUGACUAUCUCGACACAAAACAGGAGUUUCAGAGGGAAAUAAAUUUGGUUUAUGAUCAAAUCCUGACAGAACUCACUAAGAGGUAUGAGGCAAUGGCUUCAAUAUCUUCAGAAUUUUAUUUUCUAAUGGGAGAAGCUCUAAAAAAGAACCAGUUGAUGUUCUUCUUAAACAUGCUGCAGAUUUUGGGAUUAAGUAUUCACAUGAUGUAGAUGUAGUUGAGGUGUCACAAGAAUUGGAAAUUUUUUGAAUGCAAGCUAAAGAACUCAUUAACGAUGUUGAAAAAGCAGCACUACUUGACAUUCUUAAAAAGAUUCAAGAGCUUUCUUUAUAAGAUAUAUAUCCGAAUAUCCAAAUAGCUCUUAGAAUUUACUUAACACUUAUUGUUACGGGGGCCUCUUGUGAGCGAAGCUUCAGUAAAAUAAAGCUCAUCAAGAAUUAUUUAAGACCAUCCAUUGGACAGGAACGUUUGUCAAAUUUAGCCAUUUUAUCGAUUGAACAUGAAGAGGUAGCGAAACUUAACUUAGAGGAAUUAGCUGAUAAUUUUGCGAAAAUCAAAGCUAGGAAAGUAGCAUUUAAGUAGAUUAACUGAGCUUAAUAACAGCUUUAAGUUAAAUUUGAUAGAGGUGUUCCUAGAAACUCAAUGUAUUUUGAGAUUGACUUUAUAAAAUAUAACGAGUUUUUGUAUUUAAAUGUGUGUUUCUGUUUGUUAAUGCUUUAUAACACCUUUGAUUCUGGGCUGUAAAUUAGUUUCGUUCUGUCUUAAAUUUCUGUAAAUUAACAAUACUGAAUAUAUAUAUUUGCCAAGAAACACCUUCACAUUUUCUUGGGAUAAGGGAAAAUAUCAAUCUCUCUGUAUUGGUAGGGGGAGCAUUCUUUGCUUCCUGGGGGGUUCUUUAGAGGAUGCCAUUUUAAAUUCUUGCCAGGGCGCCACAUACUAAGGUACACCACUGCUUACACCAUGCACGUUAAUUAUAUAAUUGUAUAUGUAAGUGUGCGUGA